UGAGGAAUCCUGCGUUGGGGAGGAGGCAAUAGCCUCCUGCUGGGAGGAGUGAAAGGAUUAUAAAAAACCCACUUUCUCUAGCUCUGGACCACAGAUCUCUUAAUCUUUUGGAACCGUCUUGGAGGAUGCUCAUGCUAAGAAGACUUUGGUUGAACGUGAGUAUAAUGCUGAUGUAGAUCACUUAGCAGCUGUAGCUGAAGUGGAAUGUUCUACACCCAUUAGUGAUGAAACAGCACUUGCACGAUAGAUUCAUCACAAGACAAGACAUGCAGACUCUUCUGCUGUGGACACCUGCAAUGAGUAAUGCAUGGACACCUGGAACUCAACUAGAACUGCCAACCCACUACAAUGUUACCAAAGCUGAGUGGCACGUCUCGAGUUGCUCCACUGGAACGGUGAUGUUUUCUACCUAGCUCCCGAUCUAGAGAAUGAUGAAGCUUUUUCCUGGACUCCUCGUCACUUACAACCUCCUUCUGCGUAUCUGAAUUUAACUCUAGCAACCAUCUUACAGAAUUCCCAAUUGUUAUCUCGUCAUUUGGCUUAACCUUAGCUAAACCUUAGCUAAACAUCGAUUGACUACCACCAUAACAUCCAACCAAUUAAAAGACUUUUCUCAUGUUACAACCCAGGGCUCUAAUCACCACUGGUGAAACUCUUUGUUUGGAAGUUCCACUGCCUACAAGUAUUUCUCAGCUAUAUUUACCCCUCUUCUGUUAAUAAUUAUAACCCUCAUUGUUUUGUGUUUUUGUAACUGUUAGAUGUACCACCAUAUGCAAAAGAUAUAUACCCUGUUUUCACUAAGACAUGCACGUACAAACUAUGCAUAUUCCCCCAAGCAGCCCUAGGACUGAAUUGUAAUGAAGUAUAGAAUGUUAAGGCCUGCUCGGGGUCAUAUGAGUUUACCAGGCUCAAGGUAUGCACCCCUUCCCCAGAGGAGCUGGCCACUCCUCAGGGAGAAGGGAAAGACAACCCUGGGCUGCGUUCAGAGAUACUUGUCCUUGGGCUAUGUGCCUGGGAUAACUACCUUGGGAAACAGGCCCUGGACGUUUCUAUAACAGCGAGUUGUGAACGCGGCCCCGUCUCCUGGCCAGAUCCGGGUCCGUACGUGACUCAUGCAUGUGCCUAUUGGCACUGAGCCUCUUUUGUUAAAACCAGCAUAAAUAUCAGCGUAGAGAAACCACGAGCAGCCUUCCCUCAAGUGUGCUUGGAGUACUGCUGCCUUGUCGUCCUCCUCUGAGGCUUGCCCGUGAUGAUUUGUUUUCCGGUGCUGAUGAUGGGGUUGUGGUAUGAUGAACUGAUUCUUGUUUGCUUGCUUGCUCUUCCUCUUGUUUUCCUCCCCUGAGACUUGCCCAUGAUAUUUGUUUUCCGGUGCUGAUGAUAAGGUCCUAGUGGUAUAAUAGACUGAUUUUCCUGAAACUUCUCUGUUUCCCUUAUCUCCUCCUCCUCUUAAUAAAGGGAAAGUAUACUAAACAGCUGCAGCUUGUGGUGGUGUGUCUUGCGUAUGGAGCCCAAAUUAGCAUUUAAGCCUGUGCACAGCAAUUGAUAAACUGAUUAUCAAUACAACUGGAUGUUUGCCUGCAGGUAUUCAGGAGAAAACUGCCCCCAGCUCUGCUGGGGAAGCUGAGAGGCAGAGCUGGACCGAAUGGCACCAUUUGGGUCAUCCAGAGAAACACUUGGGUGACCUGGGGUCAGGCCUGCGCCUCCCUCCGCAGAGCCAGCAGGAGCUGGCAUGAACCAGGAAGCUUCCCAGGGCUUGUGAGGUACAUGAAGAGGCUGGAUGAAGGAGCUUUCUCCUUCAGAGAGGAGCAGAGUGUCCUGAGAGGGCAUGCCGGCUGUGAGGCUUGAAGGGGAGUGAGGUGACUUGAAGUGCUGGGACAAACUCCGUCUGUCUGGCAG